UACGUAGGUGGCAAGCGUUGUCCGGAUUUAUUGGGUUUAAAGGGUGCGUAGGCGGUUAUAUAAGUCAGUGCUGAAAUAUCCCGGCUUAACCGGGAGGGUGGCAUUGAUACUGUAUGACUUGAGUAGAGUUGAGGUUGGCGGAAUUACGGUGUAGCGGUGAAAAUGCUUAGAUAUCGUCAAGAACACCGAUAGUGAAGACA
rnacentral:rRNA from 1 species